AGUGUUGAAGUAGGGUGUUGUGCCAGAAAGCAGUGCUCUAUAAGCUUUAUAAGGGUUUAAUAUUUACCACAAUCUGGCUAGAAACUACGAGUUUUAAAAGAAAAUGUU
rnacentral:sRNA from 1 species